rnacentral:rRNA from 1 species
UACGUAGGGUGCAAGCGUUUAAUCGGAAUUACUGGGCGUAAAGCGUGCGCAGGCGGUCUUGCAAGACAGGUGUGAAAUCCCCGGGCUUAACCUGGGAACUGCACUUGUGACUGCAAGGCUGGAGUACGGCAGAGGGGGAUGGAAUUCCGCGGUGUAGCAGUGAGAUGCGUAGAUAUGCGGAGGAACACCGAUGGCGAAGGCAAUCCCCUGGGCCUGUAACUGACGCUCCAUGCACGAAAGCGUGGGGAGCAAACAGG